rfam:Triticum aestivum genome assembly, contig: Triticum_aestivum_CS42_TGACv1_scaffold_129662_2BL
CAUAUACUCCCUCCGUCCCUUGCCUUAGAUUUGUCUAGAUACGGAUGUAUCUAACACUAAAGCGUAACUAGAUACAUUCGUAUUUGGACAAAUCUAAGAUAAGAAUUUUGGGACGGAGGGAGUAUGAU